rnacentral:rRNA from 1 species
AACGAACGCUGGCGGCAUGCCUAACACAUGCAAGUCGAACGAUCCCUUCGGGGAUAGUGGCGCACGGGUGCGUAACGCGUGGGAACCUGCCCUUAGGUUCGGAAUAACUCAGAGAAAUUUGAGCUAAUACCGGAUAAUGUCUUCGGACCAAAGAUUUAUCGCCUUUGGAUGGGCCCGCGUUGGAUUAGCUAGUUGGUGGGGUAAAGGCCUACCAAGGCGACGAUCCAUAGCUGGUCUGAGAGGAUGAUCAGCCACACUGGGACUGAGACACGGCCCAGACUCCUACGGGAGGCAGCAGUGGGGAAUAUUAGACAAUGGGCGAAAGCCUGAUCCAGCAAUGCCGCGUAAGUGAUGAAGGCCUUAGGGUUGUAAAGCUCUUUUACCCGGGAUGAUAAUGACAGUACCGGGAGAAUAAGCCCCGGCUAACUCCGUG